GACGAACGCUGGCGGCGUGCUUAACACAUGCAAGUCGAACGGAAAGGCCCUGCUUUUGUUGGGUGCUCGAGUGGCGAACGCGUGAGUAACACGUGUGUAACCUGCCCUUGUCUGUGGGAUAACUUCAGGGAACUGGGGCUCAUACCGCAUAUGAGCUCCUGCUGCAUGGUGGGGGUUGGAAAGUUUCGGCGGUUCUGGCUGGUCUCGCGGCUUAUGCGCCUGUUGGGGGAGUAGUGGCUUACCAAGGCUUUGACGGGUAGGCGGCCUGGGAGGGGGAACGGCGACAAUGGGACUGCGAGAGGGAGCAGUCGGCAAUGGGAGGCAGCAGGGGGGAACAUUGCACAAUGGGCGGAAGCGUGAGGUAGAGACGUUGCGUGCGGGAUGACGGGUUUCGGGUUGUGAACCAAUGUGUACGUUGACGUGGAGGGAGUGACGGUAACGGGUAAAGAAGCACCGGCUAACUACGUG
rnacentral:rRNA from 1 species